rnacentral:rRNA from 1 species
UACGGAGGGGGCAAGCGUUAUCCGGAUUCACUGGGUUUAAAGGGUGCGUAGGUGGGUUGGUAAGUCAGUGGUGAAAUCCCCGAGCUUAACUUGGGAACUGCCAUUGAUACUAUCAGUCUUGAAUACCGUGGAGGUCAGCGGAAUAUGUCAUGUAGCGGUGAAAUGCUUAGAUAUGACAUAGAACACCAAUUGCGAAGGCAGCUGGCUACUCGGAUAUUGACAAUGAGGCACGAAAGCGUGGGGAUCAAACAGG